GUUUUCCCAGGGUAAGACUUAUCUGUUGCACUCUGGAUGUGCUGACCCCUGAGAUUUCUGCAAAUGCAGGAAACUUGACUGUAUAAUUCGAGGCAGUGGGAAACUGCAUUUGUGCUCUCCCCUA
rnacentral:snRNA from 11 species